GUGAACAUGUCAGCCUCCGUCUUAUAUCAACUCCAGAACUGGGAGUCUAGCUCGUCCUACUGUAUUUGGCUGAAACCCUGUUGAAGCAUGCUCAGUUAACUGUAAAGCCUCUGUGGGAUGAGCCGUGGCGAGGGUCCUGGAACACUCUCGUGUGUCGGGUCUCAGUGCUCCAUUUGACUCAAAGGAGUUUGUUUCAUAAUAAGCAUAUCAUGUAGUCACACACUCUCUGACAAACUAUUAUUUCCUGUGUAUUUUUAGUUACAGUUGAAGGAUCCAAAGGAAUGAGUCAGAAAUAGCAGGUUUCUAAGACAAUUGGUUGUGAAUGGCCCAUGCAAGGAUUUGCUGCGUGGUGAUUUUACAUAGAAUAGAAACUUGCUGAUCUUAGUGGCUGAGGUGCUUCUGUUAUUGUAAAAGUACUUCUGGGAUUUUUAAAAUAGGACCAUGUUUGGGAUUGUGUCUUACAAGAUUACUAUGGUGCUCAGAAAAUGUUACCGAGUUCUGCAGAAACCAGGCUGUGCUGUCCAGAGACUCGGCUAUCGUGAGCAGAGCGGAGUGCGGCUGCGUUUGACUACAUCACUCCAGUUUGCUCUGGGUUUGGUAGAUGAAAACAUCCUCCAUGAAGACUGUCAUCACAGUGGCGACCUAAUGCGGAAGAGACCACAGACAAGGAGGUGGAGGUUUCUUUAAAACUUGACUUCACAAAAGGCUCACAAUAACAAAUUUCAACUUAGGGGUUCUAAAGGACCCGAUACUUUUUUGGAAGCAACCAUUUUUAUUUCCAAUUAUUUAUAAUUGAUAGAUACAGUAACACAGGGAACAAGAACAAAGAUACUUAAGUUAGAGGUAAGUUAAAAUGUUUUCAAAGUCUAAAAAUGGGCAAAACUAACACCAACAGAGGCAGAAACUCCUAGAAUAUUUUAAGAAAACACCUUGUCCAGAUAGCUACAUGUGAUAGUGGCAUUUGAGUUAGAUACUGCCUCUCAAACAUACGCACCUACCAAGCUUGCUACAAAGGUGUUUUAUGGUAGGGGCCAACAGUUCUUCGACAGCCACAAUGAUAAUCACUCAAAGGCAGAAUAGAAAUCUUUAAAUAUGCUCAGGAGUGAAAAGGAUGGCUCAGUACUUAAGAGAACUUACUGCUCUUGUGAGGACCUGGGUUCAGUUCCCAGGACCUAUGGCAGGUGGUUCAGGGAGCUGGCACCCCUUUCUGGACUCCAUGAGCACCUGUACUCAAAAGGUGUAUGUACCACCCUCCCAUACACAUACACAUAUAAUCAACAGAAAAAUACAUUUAAAUAUACCUAGGAAGCUGAAUGAUGAGGCCAUGGAAUAUCUCACUUCUAUUUUGUAAUGCUUUAAGAGCCUAUAAUUAUAUCAAAAUAAAAGGACUUUAAAAAAAGUAAACCUAAUAGAGUAAGUUUAUCAAUAUCUCUGUAUGUAUAUUUUAAAAUUUAACACUGCAGACCUAGUAUUUAGUUCCAGAUGAGAACCAUAUUAUAUAUUGAUAAAAUUUUUUAUUUCAUUUUUGAGUUUAAGGAAAAGGAGCUCAUGUUUCUAACAGAUGCUUCCCUGAAGAUCUCCCUUGCCUUACAAGAAUGCUUCUAACAACCUCACACCAAAACUAAUUUUCCUUUAAAAUAUUGAGAUGCUUAUGAUCUUAUGUUUCUGAUCUGUGUUUUCCCCUAUGGCAGCUGAGUUCAUAAUUGAGGGCAAGGCAUUUUGAGUCCUCUCCUCUGUCUAUGUGUGGACUUUCCUGUUGUCUCUUCUCUCUGUGUGCUCACAGUGUGGACCGUGUGGACUGACACCACCAUCUGUUGCAGAAGGUGUGGCACAGGUGUGCACUUUUUGUUUUAAGCUCAAAGGGAGUUUGUCGUUGACUUUGUGUUGUCCUGGUUAUUUUAAGAGUUGAAAUCCCAAGCAGCCACAGAGAUAGUCUGGGUUGUGACGAUGGUCUUUGUGUAUGUUCUUGGUGAUAAAACUCACAUGUUUGUCUCCCUGCCCCUGCUCCUGCUGUUGUUCAGUUACGUGAAGUUUACUUUUAUUUCUUAGUGUUUUUAUGUUUCUUAAACAAAUUUUAAAGAAAUUCAUGGUUACAUGACAUCACAGAUCAGUGUUCCCUCCCGGCCUGAAAGGGUUAACUGAAGCAUCUCUGGACUUCAGAGUGUUGCUUUUCAUGAUGAAAAAGCCCAACCUUUGUUCUUUGUUUUUAAGUGUUUGUAAAAUAAUUUAGUGUGGAAGUUGCUGUUGGGUGUUGUAAUCUCUGGGAGCCCAGGAUGCUUGUUUUGCACUCAGGACUGUUGUGUCCAAAACAAAUGAGCACUUUGGGAAUUUAAAAGGCUUUAAAAAAAUAUUUUUCCAGAAAAACAGUCCAUGGAUCACUUAAAAGAAUGACCAUUCUUGAACAGCAACAGUGAUGGAAAGGAAGCUUUGCUCGCUCGCUUGUGAAUAGUGUGUGUGACAGCAUUACUCCAGCAGAAUAAGCUAGCUGCUUUCAAAGGGGGAAAGGGCCAGUUAUUUUUGUGCCCUCAUUAUUAUUAAUUUGAAGUUAUAAGGUAAAAACAUUUAGUUUAUGCAAGAGUAGAUUCUAAGAGGGUAUUUGGCAGAAUAUAUUGUUCUAAUAAGUUUGGAAAAUGCUGGAUUAUGCAAAGCUGACUUGCUGAAGGCUUUUCAGAACCUUUGAUGUGUAAAUGUGUGGUUUUGGUUUCCAGCUUCAGAGAUGUUUUAUUUUAUUAGCAAAGAGGACAGUGGGCCAGGCUGUGUGCAGGCACAUAUAGAGAGGACAGUGGGCCAGGCUGUGUGCAGGCACAUAUAGAGAGGACAGUGAGCCAGGCUGUGUGCAGGCACACGCUCACCUCCCAGGAGGUACUCACUGUUUCCACCUCUGUUUAAUAUAUCCCUUCCCUAACUUAUUUUACUGAGGAUUUUUUUUUUAAAGUAGGUGUUUUAUGGGAUUUGUGUUCUGAGAAAUUUACUUAGGAGAACAUUCAGUAUUUUGCUCUCUGUGCUCAAUACAAAGUUUCUGCUUUUGAGUGUUUGUCUGGUGAUAGUAAGAGUAACUAAACAAGCUUCAUUUCACCCUAGAGUAUAAACCAGUUCACUAGUGAGGCUCUGGCAUUGUCAGCCUUUGCAACAUAUACACACAGUCACAGGCUUGGUGCUCCAGGGUUUGGAUGUACAUUUGAAGCACAGCAUGCAUGCGUGCGUGGGGUCUGAGUGCUGGGGUCAUGGCGAGCAUCCAGCCACAUGAAAAGCUCUCGGAUCUUAGUUCUGAUGCUUCGGGUUUCCUCUUGAAGAUUAGAGCAAUAGCUGUAAUCAUGUAGUUUAUAUCCCAGAUCCUUGGCAAUCACAGGAAGUGACCUGCCAGAGUUUGCAUCAGCCUCUGAGAGUCAUGUCAGAUGGAGAAGGCCGUCCUGGCUGUUGUUCUUUGGGCCGUGGGCUGCUGGCAUCUUGAUUUGAUGGAGGAGAGUGUACACAGCCUCUAAGUGCAUAAAGAUGUUUUGGGUUCUCUUACGUCUUAUUGUUUUGUAAAAUAGAAAUCAUCUUUAAGUGAGACUGAAGUUUUGUAGCUUCAUUCUAGCUUUCUGGAAGAUCAACAGAGAAAAAGACAAGAACUGUAUAUGAGGCAUAUUGACUCCAUCUCCCAAGGCAGUCUCUGAAUGGGAAGCAAUGUAAACAUCUGUUCUAGUGUGCAAAUACUAUAACCAGCUAUGGUGGCCGCCAUGGCCUCAUAGUCCAGCCUUGCCUACUGUGAAUGUAUUUUACCUAGAGCUGAUGUGGAAAUACCCAAAAGUAGAAAUGAUGGUCAUUGUUAAGAAUUUAUUAUAAUAAAUGAGAAACUGGAUAUAAUCUCAAAAUAGCUAUUUUCUCAAUAAAAUUUCAAAUCAUCUGA